UUACCACGAAUUAUUCCAUAUC
rnacentral:miRNA from 1 species